CAGGCAUAACAGGUGGUUGCUCCAAAAAGUUGUUAAAAUUGGAGAGGAAAGUCCGAGCUGCAAAGACAGGAUUCCAUUUAACAAAUGGCCAGUGUAAACUGAGGGAAAGUGCAACAGAAAUAAAACUGCCCAAUAUUUUUGGGUAAGGGUGAAAUGGUGAGGUAAGAGCUCACCGGGAUUUAAGCGAUUAGAUCUGACCGUGUAAACCCAAUCUGCAGCAAGAAGAGUAUGGUUAAAGUCUUCUUUUAGCUCUUCGCUUGAGGUUUGUUGUGAAACAAAUCCUAGAUAAAUAACCACCCUUGACAGAACUCGGCUUAUCGUUAUGCCUGUAGA
rnacentral:RNase_P_RNA from 1 species